UACCGAGUUUACAACUCCCAAACCCCUGUGAACAUACCACUUGUUGCCUCGGCGGAUCAGCCCGCUCCCGGUAAAACGGGACGGCCCGCCAGAGGACCCCUAAACUCUGUUUCUAUAUGUAACUUCUGAGUAAAACCAUAAAUAAAUCAAAACUUUCAACAACGGAUCUCUUGGUUCUGGCAUCGAUGAAGAACGCAGCAAAAUGCGAUAAGUAAUGUGAAUUGCAGAAUUCAGUGAAUCAUCGAAUCUUUGAACGCACAUUGCGCCCGCCAGUAUUCUGGCGGGCAUGCCUGUUCGAGCGUCAUUUCAACCCUCAAGCACAGCUUGGUGUUGGGACUCGCGAGUUAAUUCGCGUUCCCCAAAUUGAUUGGCGGUCACGUCGAGCUUCCAUAGCGUAGUAGUAAAACCCUCGUUACUGGUAAUCGUCGCGGCCACGCCGUUAAACCCCAACUUCUGAAUGUUGACCUCGGAUCAGGUAGGAAUACCCGCUGAACUUAAGCAUAUCAAUA
rnacentral:rRNA from 1 species